ACUGUGGUGCUUGCACAAAUCGCGCUCUGCUCUGAAAAUCGUGUACAAGGCAAUGGAAUGUCCUACAGCCAUCCUUGUUAUUCUGGCGGGAGCCCAGAUUAUUUCGGCUCAAGGUGCAGCAAAGUGCAAGCUUCCACUGGAUGAAG